GGUGAACGCUAGCUACAGGCUUAACACAUGCAAGUCGAGGGGUAACGAGAGGAAAGCUUGCUUUCCUUGUCGACGGCCGGCGCACGGGUGAGUAACGCGUAUCCAACCUGCCCCCAACUAGGGAAUAACCUUGCGAAAGUAAGACUAAUACCCUAUAAUUUCCUCAGAUGUCAUCUGACGAGGAAUAAAGAUUUAUCGGUUGUGGAUGGGGAUGCGUCUGAUUAGCUUGUUGGCGGGGUAACGGCCCACCAAGGCAACGAUCAGUAGGGGUUCUGAGAGGAAGGUCCCCCACACUGGAACUGAGACACGGUCCAGACUCCUACGGGAGGCAGCAGUGGGGAAUUUUGCGCAAUGGGGGAAACCCUGACGCAGCAACGCCGCGUGAGUGAUGAAGGCCCUUGGGUCGUAAAGCUCUGACAGAGGGAAAGAAGUGUAUUGUGGCUAAUAUCCACGAUACUUGACGGUACCCUCAAAGGAAGCACCGGCUAACUCCGUGCCAGCAGCCGCAGUAA
rnacentral:rRNA from 1 species